CUGUUUGUUCGCUGCAAUGACCGGAUGAGUGACGGACCGUGCGUCUCCAUUGUUUUGCUUGCUCCGGUGCGGACGAGAACGGAACGACAUUCGCUUGUUGAACGCGACCGCGACUGGACGUGAAGAUUCCUGGAACUGUGUGGUUUCCGCGUUUUGUUGUGACGGACGGAUAACGUGCUCGCCGUGGGUGUGUUCGUGCGUGAAAAUGCCUAAGGUUUUCUGUUUUGUUGUGGAUCAUUCCUGCUACCGUUAGUAACCCGUAGUACAUAUCCCGUCGUGGGUUGGCUUUAGGUGAGGGGGGAAAAGUGUGUGGUGGUGGUGUAAAUUUUCCUGGAGAUGUGAAGAAGAUAUCAAAGUGUUGAAUUUUAAUGGAUUUCGCUUGUGAUUUAUGUCGUUGGAUUUUCCUCUUCUGGUUGGUGGUGUGAAGGAUGUGGAAUAUAUGCAGCAUAGAAGGAAUCCCGGAGGGUUUUUACUGCGGUAGCGAAAUUUGACGAUCCAGGAUCCAACGUCAGCCAACGUAGUCGGAUGGAAGUAAUAAUCUGGGAUAAUGAUUUCCGUACUUCUGAAUAACUGGUGAUAUGAAAAAAAGUGGCGAGAGAUUGCCAGAAGCUUCGUGGGAAUUCCAAGUAAAAGUGAUUACGGAAGUGUUUUUUUAGAUUGGGAAUGUAGGGCAAGAAGUAAUACGGUACCGUUAUUGAAAAAUAAAAAAGAAGAAUCUUUGAAAUUGGUGGGAAAAUUUGCCGGGAAAAAGUAAAAGUUAAAGUGAUUAUUCCGGGAACGAAAAGAAAAGCAACAUUACGCGCCGAGAGCCAGCUGAGAAGGUACUCCACGUGGAAGAUUUACUUCGCAAAAGAAUUGCAUUCGGUCGUGAUGGAUGUUAUUUCAAAUGCCCUAAGUGAAUCUGUUACAGCUCAAUUAUUGUGCGGGCAUUAAGUGUAAAAUACGAACAUAAAUCAUUGCGUAAGGGUAACCAAAUUGCAAAGCAGAAUGGGUGUCAACUCCUCGUCGCGGCAGGAUGUGAGUCUGCUCUCGGAUGAAGACGUUAACUUUGACCACUUUCAAAUUCUGAGGAACAUCGGAAAAGGGAGCUUCGGAAAGGUAAGCAU